rnacentral:rRNA from 1 species
GACGAACGCUGGCGGCGUGCUUAACACAUGCAAGUCGAACGGAAAGGCCCUGCUUUUGUGGGGUGCUCGAGUGGCGAACGGGUGAGUAACACGUGAGUAACCUGCCCUUGACCUUGGGAUAUCUUCAGGAAACUGGUGCUAAUACCGGAUAGGAGCUCCUGCUGCAUGGUGGGGGUUGGAAAGUUUCGGCGGUUGGGGAUGGACUGGCGGCUUAUCAGCUUGUUGGUGGGGUAGUGGCUUACCAAGGCUUUGACGGAUAGCCGGCCUGAGAGGGUGACCGGCGACAUGGGGACUGAGAUACGGAGCAGACUCCUACGGGAGGCAGCAGGGGAGAAUAUUACACAAUGGGCGGAAGCCUGAUGCAGAGACGCCGCGUGCGGGAUGACGGCCUUCGGGUUGUAAACCGCUUUCGCCUGUGACGAAGCGUGAGUGACGGUAAUGGGUAAAGAAGCACCGGCUAACUACGUG